rnacentral:lncRNA from 1 species
UCCCAGAACUGCACACAAUAUUCAAGGUGAGGCCACACCAAUGCUAAAUAUAGCGAGAGAAUCACCUCGUUUUCCCAGUUAGCUAUGCUAUUUUUAACACAUCCUAAAAUGCAGGUCAUAAAACAGAAGCAGAAAAACUUUUGUUAAUAUGGACUUCAAUAUAAAAAAUCCUUCCUUCCUUCUCUGAAUGUGCUUUUGGGGUGCAUUCAAAUUGUUUCUCAGUACCAGCUGCCUGGGGACACUGCCUGACCUGGUAUCAAUCAGCAAUUGGCUAACAGAAAUCAGCAACAAAUGAGAGGCCAGCUGAACUCACAUCUUUAUUAGUUAAUUGAAUAACAAGAACUUUAUUCAGAUGAAUUUUAUUAGCAGAACCCAGAUAAUUUAGCACUUUGAAUAGAAAGGAAGAUUUAUGUAAGUCAUGAUAUAUAUGACUUACUGAGGCUCCCAUUGGUUUUCUUGUAUUUCUCUCUAGUGCUCUGAUGUAUAGCAUAAAAAAGAUCUACCUGUUCCCCAGAGAGUUUUCAGAGAGAUGAGUCUGUUUCUAGCUACCAUAUCUGUGCCCUGCUACGGAAUACAGGUUAGGGAAAAGGAUGUGGCUUCCUUAGGAAAAGAGAACCCCUGUCACAAGGGACACAAGCAAUUCUCAUUCUACUACUACCUGGAGACACUUGCUAUGAAGACAAAAAAAUCAAGAUUGAAAGGAAAGCUGACCUUUAAGGUAAGCAAUUCUUCUAUUAGUCAUAACUUUUCAUGCUGAGUACCUUUUCUAUACUGAAUUGUGAAUGUACGUACUAUUUAUAUAUAUAUAUGUGUGUGUAUAUAUAUGUGUAUAUAUACACCCACACACUACAUUACAGUAGCUGAACAGUUACUAGUAGCAAAUAACUCAUAUUUUGAUAUUUUGUUCUACAUCUCCAUAGUGGAAUUCCUAAGUGAU